rnacentral:rRNA from 1 species
CCUACGGGGUGCAGCAGUGGGGAAUAUUGGGCAAUGGAGGCAACUCUGACCCAGCAAUGCCGCGUGAGUGAUGAAGGUAAUUUUAUUGUAAAGCUCUUUUCUUUGGAACGAAUAAAUGACGGUACCAAAGGAAUAAGCCCCGGCUAACUACGUGCCAGCAGCCGCGGUAAUACGGAGGAUGCGAGCGUUAUCCGGAUUUAUUGGGUUUAAAGGGUGCGCAGGCGGAGGCACAAGUCAGCGGUAAAAUCGCGGGGCUCAACCCCGCUCCGCCGUUGAAACUGUGUCCCUUGAGUGCGCGAAGGGUAGGCGGAAUGCGUGGUGUAGCGGGGAAAUGCAUAGAUAUCACGCAGAACUCCGAUCGCGAAGGCAGCCUACCGGCGCGCAACUGACGCUCAUGCACGAAAGCGUGGGUAUCGAACAGGAUUAGAUACCCUGGUAGUC